rnacentral:misc_RNA from 1 species
GAUGAAGAACGUAGCGAAAUGCGAUACGUAAUGUGAAUUGCAGAUUUCAGUGAAUCAUCGAAUCUUUGAACGCACAUUGCGCCCGCCAGUAUUCUGGCGGGCAUGCCUGUUCGAGCGUCAUUUCAACCAUCAAGCGCCUGCGCUUGUGUUGGAGCCCUGCGGCUGGCGCAGGCUCUCAAACCCAGUGGCGGGCUCGUCGUCGUACCGAGUGCAGUAAAUUUACCACGCUCAGGGCACGCGACGGGUGACCGGCCGUAAAACCCCCAUCUUCUCAAGGUUGACCUCGGAUCAGGUAGGAAUACCCGCUGAACUUAAGCAUAUCAAUAAGCGGAGGA